rnacentral:rRNA from 1 species
UACGUAGGGUGCGAGCGUUGUCCGGAAUUACUGGGCGUAAAGAGCUCGUAGGUGGUUUGUCGCGUUGUCCGUGAAAACUCACAACUCAAUUGUGGGCGUGCGGGCGAUACGGGCAGACUGGAGUACUGCAGGGGAGACUGGAAUUCCUGGUGUAGCGGUGGAAUGCGCAGAUAUCAGGAGGAACACCAAUAGCGAAGGCAGCUCGCUGGGACGUUACUGACACUGAGGCGCGAAAGCGUGGGGAGCGAACAGG